rnacentral:rRNA from 1 species
GACGAACGCUGGCGGCGUGCUUAACACAUGCAAGUCGAGCGGAAAGGCCACUUCGGUGGUACUCGAGCGGCGAACGGGUGAGUAACACGUGAGUAAUCUGCCCUUGGCUUUGGGAUAGCCACCGGAAACGGUGAUUAAUACCGGAUACGACCACUUCUCGCAUGGGAUGGUGGUGGAAAGUUUUUCGGCCAGGGAUGUGCUCGCGGCCUAUCAGCUUGAUGGUGAGGUAAUGGCUCACCAUGGCUUCGACGGGUAGCCGGCCUGAGAGGGUGACCGGUCACACUGGGACUGAGACACGGCCCAGACUCCUACGGGAGGCAGCAGUGGGGAAUAUUGGACAAUGGGCGGAAGCCUGAUCCAGCAACGCCGCGUGAGGGAUGACGGCCUUCGGGUUGUAAACCUCUUUCAGCAGGGACGAAGCGCAAGUGACGGUACCUGCAGAAGAAGCACCGGCCAACUACGUGCCAGCCGCCGCAGUAACAC